CGGCGGACGGGUGAGUAACGUGUGGGUAACCUGCCUCAUACAGGGGGAUAACAGUUGGAAACGGCUGCUAAUACCGCAUAAGCGCACAGUACCGCAUGGUACGGUGUGAAAAACUCCGGUGGUAUGAGAUGGACCCGCGUCUGAUUAGGUAGUUGGUGGGGUAACGGCCUACCAAGCCGACGAUCAGUAGCCGACCUGAGAGGGUGACCGGCUACAUUGGGACUGAGACACGGCCCAA
rnacentral:rRNA from 1 species